GAUGAACGCUAGCUACAGGCUUAACACAUGCAAGUCGAGGGGUAACAAGAGAAAAGCUUGCUUUUCUUGUUGACGACCGGCGCACGGGUGAGUAACGCGUAUCCAACCUGCCUAUAACUAGGGAAUAACCUUGCGAAAGUAAGACUAAUACCCUAUGAUUUCCUUUGAUGACAUCAGAUUAGGAAUAAAGAUUUAUCGGUUAUAGAUGGGGAUGCGUCUGAUUAGCUUGUUGGCGGGGUAACGGCCCACCAAGGCAACGAUCAGUAGGGGUUCUGAGAGGAAGGUCACCCACAGUGGAACUGAGACCCAGGCCAAACUCCUAAGGGAGGCAGAAGGGAGGAAAAUUGGUCAAUGGGCUGAAGCCUGAACCAGCCAGGUCGCGUGCCGGAUGACGGCCCUACGGGUUGUAAACUACUUUUAUACAGGAAUAAAGUUAGCCACGUGUGGUUAUUUGUAGGUACUGUAUGAAUAAGGACCGGCUAAUUCCGUGCCAGCCGCCGCCGUAA
rnacentral:rRNA from 1 species